CUUGUACACACCGCCCGUCACACCAUGGGAGCGGGUUUCACCAGAAGUAGCUAGUCUAACCGCAAGGAGGACGGUUACCACGGUGAGAUUCGUGACUGGGUG
rnacentral:rRNA from 1 species